UUUCCGUAGGUGAACCUGCGGAAGGAUCAUUUCCGAAACAACUUCUAUACCAACCCACCGUGUGCAAUCAUGUUUUGCUGCAAUUUUGCCUCGCCUUUCUCGCCAGAGAGGGCGAGGAAUUGCAUUUUUCCCUUUCAGGGGUUGCUUUAGGCUUGUGCGUGGGUGCCUUUGUGGCCACCCACGCACCUGUAUACCUGGUACCCCCUGAUUUUACCCUUUACAAACCACACCUGAGAUUCUCUACGAAAAAAGAACCUGAGAAUACAAGGCUAGGGCUGUUGUUAUGUGCAAGCAUACAUGAGAGCUCUGUCCUUGCUGUUCCUUUUUUUUUUUGUACUGGGUUUCUCUUGUGUUUUACCCUGUACUUUUGUAAGAGCAAAUCUUAUAAAAAAACAAAAAAGUUGACAAUAAAUAAUGGACAACUUUUAACGGUGGAUCUCUUGGCUCGU
rnacentral:misc_RNA from 1 species